GAAAUCACAUUGUUCAUAAUUCACAUUAGAUAUCAUGUUCAUAUUCAUGCUUCAGAAUUAUUCUACUAUGUUUCCUGGUGAAUAACUAAGGGCUUUAUUUCUACAGGCUGAAAAUGCUGCAGGGAGGGUCAUCUGCAGUGUGACAUAGAGGACUCCUCAAAGCAGGAACUCCUUCAGUGAGGUCUACACAGCUACACACAGUAGCAGCUUAGAGGACUGUGAGCAACAACACUGAAUACUAUAGAUUCCUCAUGGAGAAACCACUAUUACUGAUCCUCAUUAUGACAACAGGUGUAACUGCUGACCAAGUCUCUCCUGAGCAGAAGGGCGUCACUCAGAGUGAAGAGGAAUCUGUAACCCUCAAAUGCUCGUAUGUGACGAGCAGCAACGAUGUUCUACUUUACUGGUACAGGCAGUGUCCUGGACAGGCACCUCAGUAUUUGUUAAGGAAAGGUGCAAGAAGUAAUAGUGGUAGUUAUGAACACAGCUCUGAUCCAAGAUUUGAUUCCACAACAUCACAGACAUCCACUGAGCUCCAUAUUAAAGUCCUGACUCUGGCAGACACAGCUCUCUACUACUGUGCUCUGUUGGUAGCACAGUGAUACAAAGUCUCUGAAAUGCUGUACAAAAACUCAGAGGCAAACAGAC